rnacentral:lncRNA from 1 species
GCAAAAAUAUGGUCUGAGCUGCAAAGGGUACUUAGUGUAUUGCGACUGAGUUAAUGUUUUGUGGUAAAGAUUGCACGAAAUGAAAUCAAAAGCCUUUUGAAUUUGACUUGAUAGCUAUAUUUAACAAGCCUCAAUACUGCUUUUGAGAGUCCAAUCAACAAAGUGCAGUAAGGUGAAUGAAAUUUUGUCCUACACAUGGCAAGCAUCGAUUAAUAAAGUAUACUCAGA